ACUGCUCAGGAUGAACGCUGGCGGCGUGCUUAACACAUGCAAGUCGAACGGGAUCCGACCAGCUUGCUGGUUGGUGAGAGUGGCGAACGGGUGAGUAAUGCGUGACCAACCUGCCCCAUGCUCCAGAAUAGCUCUUGGAAACGGGUGGUAAUGCUGGAUGCUCCAACUUGACGCAUGUCUUGUUGGGAAAGUGUUUAGUGGCAUGGGAUGGGGUCGCGUCCUAUCAGCUUGUAGGCGGGGUAAUGGCCCACCUAGGCUUCGACGGGUAGCCGGCCUGAGAGGGCGGACGGCCACAUUGGGACUGAGAUACGGCCCAGACUCCUACGGGAGGCAGCAGUGGGGAAUAUUGCGCAAUGGGGGAAACCCUGACGCAGCGACGCCGCGUGCGGGAUGAAGGCCUUCGGGUUGUAAACCGCUUUUGAUUGGGAGCAAGCUUUCGGGUGAGUGUACCUUUCGAAUAAGCGCCGGCUAACUACGUGCCAGCAGCCGCGGUAAUACGUAGGGCGCAAGCGUUAUCCGGAAUUAUUGGGCGUAAAGAGCUUGUAGGCGGUUCGUCGCGUCUGGUGUGAAAGCCCAUCGCUUAACGGUGGGUUUGCGCCGGGUACGGGCGGGCUAGAGUGCAGUAGGGGAGACUGGAAUUCCCGGUGUAACGGUGGAAUGUGUAGAUAUCGGGAAGAACACCAAUGGCGAAGGCAGGUCUCUGGGCUGUUACUGACGCUAGA
rnacentral:rRNA from 1 species